CUUUUAUGGAGAGUUUGAUCUUGGCUCAGGACGAACGCUGGCGGCGUGCCUAAUACAUGCAAGUCGAGCGCGGGAAGCAAGUAGAUCUCCUUCGGGAGUGACGCUUGUGGAACGAGCGGCGGACGGGUGAGUAACACGUGGGCAACCUACCUGUAAGACUGGGAUAACCCCGGGAAACCGGGGCUAAUACCGGAUGAAACAAAGCG
rnacentral:rRNA from 1 species